GACAGAGGUGCCGAGCGUUAGGCGGAAUCACUGGGCUUAAAGCGUGUGUAGGCGGACGGGUAAGUACCUUGUGAAAUCCCACGGCUCAACCGUGGAACGGCUGGGUAGACUGCCCGUCUUGAGCCGCUCAGGGGCUGUCGGAACAAAUGGUGGAGCGGUGAAAUGCGUAGAUAUCAUUUGGAACGCCGACGGUGAAAACAGACAGCUGGGGGCGUGCCGACGCUGAGACACGAAAGCCAGGGGAGCAAACGGG
rnacentral:rRNA from 1 species